GCCGCCACUCACCCCUCUCUUCUCCUUCAGCCGACGUGCACACGCUCCCUGUCUUCUUCCUCACGGUGGCCAGCAGGGAGCUCGGCCAGCAGCCAUGGCCUCCUCCACUUCUUCCCCGUGGAAGCCGGCUCCCUGCUCCUUGCUCCACGACCAGCAGAGGUCAGCGGCGCCCUCCCUGCUCCUCCUGGCGAGCGGCUGCAGCAGGGAGCAGGAGCUUCCAGGCCACCCAGCGCCCCUUCUUCUUCAUGGCAGGAGCUCCUCCCAUGGCCGCCGACGCCCUACUCUCCUCCAUGGCCGGCGCUCGAGCUCCACUCCUCCCCAUGGCGCCACCCCCUGCAGUUUUCCCCUCCGCCUCGAUGCCCUCCCUGCUCCAUUUCUUUGUUCCCCUACUGUUCCCCUGCGCGCAGGGAGCACUAUGGCCAGCGCCCCUUGACCCUCUGCUCCCAGCCAUGGCACCCAAAAAUCCCCCAGCCGAGCCACCUCUCCCAGCCAGCGCCCUCCCCUGCUCCUCCUAUUUUUUUCCCCACAAAACAGCGGCAGCUCGCCCCACCUCCCCUCGCUGCGCAGCCCCUCGGCGAAACGCCGCUGUUCCUGCAGCCCCGACACCUUCCCUGGCUUCCUCGCUGCUAGCGCUGCGCGCGUGCCACGUGUUCGGCGAUUUGUCCAAGUGGGGUGUCGAGCAGUGAGCAGCACGUCGUGAUGCAGCCAGUGGUUUGCUGUUUUUGGCGCAGACCCGCUCGCGACGUCGUCGACCCUCGCCACCGUCAAAGUCGCACUCCGCGCCUUGCAGUUCGACGAAAUGCCGAGCCAUGUGGACCAUGCGGCUAAAUCCCGACUCGUUCAGGACCGAGAGAUGACGAUCGUGCAAGUGAUGUGGUGCCACCCACCAGGUGCAGUCGGCGGACGACCCAAGGAAGGAUGGACAUAACCAGUGGAUACUCGCCAAGCGAGUACCCUCCCCCAGCAAACACUGUCUAAGUGUUAAAUUAAAG